rnacentral:misc_RNA from 1 species
GAUGAAGAACGCAGCGAAAUGCGAUACUUGGUGUGAAUUGCAGAAUCCCGUGAACCAUCGAGUCUUAGAACGCAAGUUGCGCCCGAAGCCAUUAGGCCGAGGGCACGCCUGCCUGGGCGUCACACGUCGUUGCCCCCCCAUCUACUCCUUCGGGAUUGCGGGGGGCGGAUGAUGGCCUCCCGUGCGCCUCGUCGCGCGGUUGGCAUAAAUACCAAGUCCUCGGCGACGCACGCCACGACAAUCGGUGGUUGCGAAACCUCGGUUGCCCGUCGUGUGCGGUCGUCGCGCAUCGAGGGCUCGAAAAAAUUGCCGGGCUCCGGCUCGGCUUUCAACGCGACCCCAGGUCAGGCGGGGUUACCCGCUGAAUUUAAGCAUAUCAAUAAGCGGAGGA